rnacentral:lncRNA from 1 species
GUAGUAUUUGUCUUGCUAAGAUGACGCCGAAGAGCAUGGCUGACAUUUUACAUGCCCGUAACCAAUUGUGCUAUUCUGUUAGUUUUUUUGCAUUGUUUGUAACGUAGUUUUUAAAACUUAUUUUGAACAUAAUGUUGCUGCUACUGUCUCUUAUGACCGAAAAUAACUUCUGGAGAUCAGAACUGGGAUUACAUACCACGAACUGGAAGAAGCUUUUUCCUUUAACGAGUCUGACAAGAAAGAUAUACUGCUCUCCCGGGAACAGGCUCAGAUCCUCGUCAUUUGCGUGAAGAAAAGACAGAGGAAAAGAGGAUGCAGAUCAGGCUACCUUUUGAGAAUCCGUAGGCGAGCGAGUAAACUCCCACUGCCAUCAAUUCUACUUGCUAACAUGCAAUCAUUUGAAAAUAAAAUUGAUGACCUACGAUUACGAUUAUCCUACCAACGGGACAUUAAGAACUGUAAUAUCUUAUGUUUCACAGAGUCGUGGCUGAACGACGACAGGGAUAAUAUAGAGCUGGAAGGAUUUUCAAUGCACCGGCAGAACAGAGAAGCUACGUCUGGUAAGACGAGGGGUGGAGGCAGAGCAGGCAACAGAUGGCACACAGACAGCAGAGUUGGGGACAGAUAUGCAGGGACAGACUGGCAGAGACAGUGAGUCUCAGAUGGUCGCAUGCGGUUGGACACAUGGAGGAGAGAAUCAUUUUCGCAGUAUCCUCAAAACCGUGUCUUUUUGACACAACUGCUGACAGCUACAGGGACAUAAACACAAAAAAUCCUGCUUGGAGACAAGUGUCCACGAUAGUAGGAUUGCCAGGUCAGUUUAGUAGUGGGCAUGUGCCAGAUGUGGCUAGUUAACGUGACCCACAACAAUGGGUCCUGGAGAAGACUAGCCUACCUUCAUCAGAGCAGAAGGCACCCCAAUGUUCUUUCCAUUUGGUAACAUUGCAUAAUUAAAAAAGGAUUCUAAACCAACUUUGGGAAAAGUUAUAGUCCUAAUGAACAUUCUGUAAAAGUACAUCUGAUGUCAAAUAGGGACUAUUAACUAGAGAGCCCUUUAGCUAGCUAGGUUGCACAUAAAAACAAUGUAUCAAAUAUAAAUCAAUUAUGGUAUCAAAGGCUUUAAAAAUGUACUAGAAUGUAGCUUACCGUAGACAAAUCACCAGGCGUUCAACUGGGCUGAUGGACUCCCGGUAGUUGGUAUCCAUCCGGAUGAUCCUGGCUCCAACCAUCUGAAGCAGGUGAUCGAACUGGCUUCGGUCCAGACGAAAGUAACUUCGGAAUUCCUCUCCAAGCAGUCGAAGCUCUUGAAUGAGACGGUGGAACUCCUCUGCCUGCUUUCGGGACUUUAACCAUCUCUGGACCCAUACAGACCUGCGCUUUCGGCGGGGCUGAUCCCGGCCCAACAGCGCGAUCAAGACCAC